ACGGAAGGCAGCAGUGGGGAAUAUUGCGCAAUGGGGGAAACCCUGACGCAGCAAUACCGCGUGAGUGAAGAAGGUUUUCGGAUCGUAAAACUCUUUUAUUGGGGAAGACAAUGACGGUACCCAAUGAAGAAGUCCCGGCUAACUACGUGCCAGCAGCCGCGGUAAUACGUAGGGGACAAGCGUUGUCCGGAAUGACUGGGCGUAAAGGGCGCGUAGGCGGGAUGUUAAGUCUGAUGUGAAAGGUUACGGCUCAACCGUAGACAUGCAUUGGAAACUGGCAUUCUUGAGUACUGGAGAGGCAAGUGGAAUUCCUAGUGUAGCGGUGAAAUGCGUAGAUAUUAGGAGGAACACCUGUGGCGAAGGCGGGUUGCUGGACAAUGACUGACGCUGAGACGCGAAAGCGUGGGUAGCAAACAGGAUUAGAUACCCUGGUA
rnacentral:rRNA from 1 species